rnacentral:rRNA from 1 species
GACGAACGCUGGCGGCGUGCUUAACACAUGCAAGUCGAACGGAAAGGCUCCAGCUUGCUGGAGUACUCGAGUGGCGAACGGGUGAGUAACACGUGGGUAAUCUGCCCUGCACUCUGGGAUAAGCCUGGGAAACUGGGUCUAAUACUGGAUAUGACCUUUCUCCUUAUGGGGUUUGGUGGAAAGUUUUUCGGUGUAGGAUGAGCCCGCGGCCUAUCAGCUUGUUGGUGGGGUGAUGGCCUACCAAGGCGACGACGGGUAGCCGGCCUGAGAGGGUGAUCGGCCACAUUGGGACUGAGAUACGGCCCAGACUCCUACGGGAGGCAGCAGUGGGGAAUAUUGCACGAUGGGCGGAAGCCUGAUGCAGCGACGCCGCGUGAGGGAUGACGGCCUUCGGGUUGUAAACCUCUUUCAGCAGGGACGAAGCGUAAGUGACGGUACCUGCAGAAGAAGCACCAGCUAACUAUGUG